rnacentral:rRNA from 1 species
UACGUAGGGUGCAAGCGUUGUCCGGAAUUAUUGGGCGUAAAGAGCUUGUAGGCGGUUUGUCGCGUCUGCUGUGAAAUUUCGGGGCUCAACCCCGAGCUUGCAGUGGGUACGGGCAGACUAGAGUGUGGUAGGGGAGACUGGAAUUCCUGGUGUAGCGGUGAAAUGCGCAGAUAUCUGGAGGAACACCGGUGGCGAAGGCGGCAUCCUGGACCGACACUGACGCUGAGGAGCGAAAGCCAGGGGAGCAAACGGG